rnacentral:rRNA from 1 species
AACGAACGCUGGCGGCAUGCCUAACACAUGCAAGUCGAACGAUGGUCUUCGGAUCAUAGUGGCGCACGGGUGCGUAACGCGUGGGAAUCUGCCCUUGGGUUCGGAAUAACAGUUGGAAACGACUGCUAAUACCGGAUGAUGUCGAUAAGACCAAAGAUUUAUCGCCCGAGGAUGAGCCCGCGUCGGAUUAGCUAGUUGGUGGGGUAAAGGCCUACCAAGGCGACGAUCCGUAGCUGGUCUGAGAGGAUGAUCAGCCACACUGGGACUGAGACACGGCCCAGACUCCUACGGGAGGCAGCAGUGGGGAAUAUUGGACAAUGGGCGCAAGCCUGAUCCAGCAAUGCCGCGUGAGUGAUGAAGGCCUUAGGGUUGUAAAGCUCUUUUACCCGGGAAGAUAAUGACUGUACCGGGAGAAUAAGUCCCGGCUAACUCCGUG